rnacentral:Y_RNA from 1 species
CUGGUCCAAAGGUAGUGAGUUAUCUCAACUGAUCGUUCUCAGUGAGUUACAGAUUGAACUUGUUAUACUCUUCACUCCCCCCCCCUUCUCACUACUGCACUUGUCUGG